CCUGCCUAAUCAGUUUUUCUACAUACCUUUUUUCAUUUAUUAAUGUUAAUAUCUCCUUGCCUUUCCGGCGUCCUGAAGUUCCUUUUGCGCAUGUGCGCCGUUUUCGCGCAUCCACCCUGUCCACCCGCGAGGUAGUUACGAUGCCUCCCAUUCGGGCUUGGCUUCCGGGUUUGCCGCGCAUGCGCAUAUAACAAUUGGUGGUUUUACUCGUUCGGAGCGUGUGCGGAUAGGCGGUGACGUCAGAUAUGACGUCACACGCCUAUUUAAGCGCCAAAAUUGAAUUUAAACAUUGCCUGAUGACUUCAUUAGGUCUCAAAGGACCUGCUUCAUUUCAGAAUCCAAAUUUGAAAAACUUCUGAAAAUUUCAAG